CUAGUUGAUUAAAAACGUUUCAAUAUUAGCUGAGCCGCCUCGUUCGUUGAUACAAUGUUGGCUAUGUGGGCAGGAUUGAAAUAAACCCAACUCAAUGAAAACUGUUACUAUAUUCCUAUAUUCUCGCAAAUCGAUGCUGACUGUGUGACCAACAUGAUCAUAUUUACAUUUUGUCGUUCAUUCUGACACUAGAAUAAAUGUUUCUGACUCAUAUCGAUACCACAUAGACCGUUUUCGACUAGAGAAGUUGUUUGUUUUUGGUUCAGUUGCCUUUUAAAUAUGUUUCGAAUGGUCAGGAAAAAAAGUUGUCUCACAGACAGGGUAUCAAGGAAGAAGCCGCAGGAGGCCUAAGAAAUAUUUUAUUUGGCAAAUUGCGAAUAUCAUGUCUGUGCUCUAGAAAUUAGAAUGUACAGUUAGGCCCAUUUGAAUUAAUCUCCUAUGAGACGGGCAAAUCAGGAGACCGCCUGAAAAAAGAGGCGCCAAAACAGCAGAAUUGAGGUAGUGCUUGCCCAUGCCCUCCAAAUCGUUGACAACAUUUGUUGAAUAAUUUCACCAUUGUUUUUUGUUUUGUUUAAUACUUUUGGAAUUAUAAACGUUUAAUGUUUAUCAAUUACAACCAAUGUUCUUAUAAUUUGGUGCAUGGUGAGUUUGGCAGAGAAAUUAUACAAGCCAUGAGUGUUGGAGAAGAUAAGAAAACGGGUGCAUUGCUGAACAAAGAACUAUUUGGAAGAAAUUCAAGAUUUCAAGGACGCACGGAUUUGAAUUUAACUGGAGAGGCUGAGAGCUGAGGGGAAGAGUGACAUAAAGAGGAGAGAAGUUCAUUAUCCAGCUGAAAAGGAAACCAAUGGCUUUCACAGUCUCCAUGGGAACCGGCCUUUCUUUUGCUGUCAAACCUAUGAUAAGAAACCCUCUCCUUUCUCCCACUCCAAGGCAGCCCUUUUCAAACCGGGAAGCUCCAGAGCAGGGAGGGCUUGGCUGCGGCAUGCACCGCAACACCACUGGUGCCUGCCUGGCUCUCUCUCUCUCUCUCUCUGCUGCAGGCAGGAUCAGGGAGGCAGGAGCAGCCGUCCCUCUAGUCCCUGUCUCAGCCCAGCCGCUGGGGUCUGCGUGGAGCUGGGAAAGCCACCCCCUCGUCAGUCCUCUCUGCGAACCCAUCCUCAUCCCAGGUUCCCCUCCCCCUGCCUCUGGCCCUGUCGUCUGGGAGCCCCUGAAGGUGUGACACCUCACACAGGGAUCGGCGAGCAGGAGCCCCGGGGGCCAGUCAGAGCUGGGUAGCCGUGCCAACCCCAUUGGAGAUGUAUGUUUGAAGAUAAUCGUAGGAAAUCCUCCACCCAACCCAGAGAAACCCUUUCCUGGUCAGCAGCAACCCUGGAGUACCCUACUACCUGACAGGUGGGUUGUACAGGCCCACUCAGGCUCUGACAUGGGCUUUGAUGGACUUCUCCCAAACCAUAGCUAGGGUCAUGGCCAUCUAAAUUCCUGACAAUUCAGAAACGGAGUUACUCUCCUAUGAUGAAAUUAACUCUGAUGACACAAUGAUCCUAUCAUGGUGGUCUGGGGUCAGGGGGGCUCACGGUUGUUGAGUGGUGUGUGUGAGGCAGGACCAGGAGGGCUCACGGUUGUUGAGUGGUGUGUGUGAGGCAGGACUAGGGGGGGCUCACGGUUGUUGAGUGGUGGGUGUGAGGCAGGACCAGGAGGGCUGACG
rnacentral:lncRNA from 13 species